rnacentral:tRNA from 1 species
CAUGCGCAUGGCCCGGCUGGAGCAGGCGCGCGGCGAUGAAGGCGCGGCGCUGCGCCUGUUCAAGCAGGCGCGCGCGC